rnacentral:rRNA from 1 species
AAGAGACAGCAGUCGCCACGGUAAUACGGAGGGAGCUAGCGUUAUUCGGAAUUACUGGGCGUAAAGCGCACGUAGACGGCUUUGUAAGUUAGAGGUGAAAGCCUGGUGCUCAACACCAGAACUGCCUUUGAUACUGCAUCGCUUGAAUCCAGGAGAGGUGAGUGGAAUUCCGAGUGUAGAGGUGAAAUUCGUAGAUAUUCGGAAGAACACCAGUGGCGAAGGCGGCUCACUGGACUGGUAUUGACGCUGAGAUGCGAAAGCGUGGGGAGCAAACAGGAUUAGAUACCCGGGUAGUCCCUGUCUCUUAUAC